UACGUAGGGUGCAAGCGUUGUCCGGAAUUAUUGGGCGUAAAGAGCUCGUAGGCGGUUUGUCGCGUCUGCUGUGAAAACUCGGGGCUUAACUCCGGGCCUGCAGUGGGUACGGGCAGACUAGAGUGCGGUAGGGGAGACUGGGAUUCCUGGUGUAGCGGUGAAAUGCGCAGAUAUCAGGAGGAACACCGGUGGCGAAGGCGGGUCUCUGGGCCGUAACUGACGCUGAGGAGCGAAAGCGUGGGGAGCGAACAGG
rnacentral:rRNA from 1 species